rnacentral:misc_RNA from 1 species
AAGUCGUAACAAGGUUUCCGUAGGUGAACCUGCGGAAGGAUCAUUAACACGUAUCCAACGUUAAAACAACCCUGUGAACCUUCAAUCUUGCUCGCGUAGCCCAUGAAAGCAGCAAUCCCUGGUAAAUCAUUGUUGACCAGAUUUUGAGUCAGGGACCUCUGCCGAUGAGAAGUUACAGUCACCACACUGUAACGCCGACAGGUCGCGAUAAUUCCGCUGACCACAAAAAACCGAACAACUGUUAACAAUGGAUAUCUUGGUUCUC